rnacentral:rRNA from 1 species
AGCAGCCGCGGUAAUUCCAGCUCCAAUAGCGUAUAUUAAAGUUGUUGCAGUUAAAAGCUCGUAGUUGAAUUUCGGGGUCAAUACGUCGGUCGUGCCUCGGUACGCACUGACGUUAUUGAUCCCUCCCUUCUGACGAACCGUGAUGUCAUUAAUUUGGUGUUGCGGGGAAUCAGGACUGUUACCUUGAAAAAUUGAGUGUUUAAAGCAGGCAAUCGCUCGAAUACAUUAGCAUGGAAUAAUGAAAUAGGACGUUCGAACCUAUUUUGUUGGUUUCUAGGAUCGACGUAAUGAUUAAUAGGGAUAGUUGGGGGCAUUAGUAUUCAAUUGUCAGAGGUGAAAUUCUUGGAUUUAUUGAAGACUAACUACUGCGAAAGCAUUUGCCAAGGAUGUUUUCAUUAAUCAAGAACGAAAGUUAGGGAUCGAAGACGAUCAGAUACCGUCGUAGUCUUA